CAGGCGUAGGAAAUUUGAGAAGACCUGUCCUUAGUACGAGAGGACCGGGAUGGACGUACCUCUGGUGUACCAGUUGUUCUGCCAAGGGCAUGGCUGGGUAGCUAUGUACGGAAUGGAUAAGCGCUGAAAGCAUCUAAGCGCGAAGCCAACUUCAAGAUAAGAUUUCCCACCGCAAGGGUAAGACCCCAGAAAGACUAUCUGGUUGAUAGGUCGAAGGUGUAAGUGCAGCAAUGUAUUUAGCUUAUCGAUACUAAUAGGUCGAGGACUUGACCAA
rnacentral:rRNA from 1 species